UGUGACUGUGACUGUAAUAAACCCGUCCAAUCAUUUCAUUCAGCCCAAAGGUAAUGAUUGGAGGGUCUACCUAUUUGCGUGCACUCUGCCCAUGCACUCAUUGUGCGUCACCAGAGUCUUUUCCACAAGAUGCUAA